UACGUAGGGACCAAGCGUUGUCCGGAAUCAUUGGGCGUAAAGAGCGUGUAGGCGGCGUGACAAGUCACUUGUGAAAUCUCCGGGCUUAACCCGGAGCGGUCAAGUGAUACUGUCGUGCUAGAGUGCGGAAGGGGCUACUGGAAUUCUCGGUGUAGCGGUGAAAUGCGUAGAUAUCGAGAGGAACACCUGCGGCGAAGGCGGGUAGCUGGGCCGACACUGACGCUGAUGCGCGAAAGCCAGGGGAGCGAACGGG
rnacentral:rRNA from 1 species